UAAUACAUGCAAGUCGAGCGAACUGAUUAGAAGCUUGCUUCUAUGACGUUAGCGGCGGACGGGUGAGUAACACGUGGGCAACCUGCCUGUAAGACUGGGAUAACUUCGGGAAACCGAAGCUAAUACCGGAUAGGAUCUUCUCCUUCAUGGGAGAUGAUUGAAAGAUGGUUUCGGCUAUCACUUACAGAUGGGCCCGCGGUGCAUUAGCUAGUUGGUGAGGUAACGGCUCACCAAGGCAACGAUGCAUAGCCGACCUGAGAGGGUGAUCGGCCACACUGGGACUGAGACACGGCCCAGACUCCUACGGGAGGCAGCAGUAGGGAAUCUUCCGCAAUGGACGAAAGUCUGACGGAGCAACGCCGCGUGAGUGAUGAAGGCUUUCGGGUCGUAAAACUCUGUUGUUAGGGAAGAACAAGUACAAGAGUAACUGCUUGUACCUUGACGGUACCUAACCAGAAAGCCACGGCUAACUACGUGCCAGCAGCCGCGGUAAUACGUAGGUGGCAAGCGUUAUCCGGAAUUAUUGGGCGUAAAGCGCGCGCAGGCGGUUUCUUAAGUCUGAUGUGAAAGCCCACGGCUCAACCGUGGAGGGUCAUUGGAAACUGGGGAACUUGAGUGCAGAAGAGAAAAGCGGAAUUCCACGUGUAGCGGUGAAAUGCGUAGAGAUGUGGAGGAACACCAGUGGCGAAGGCGGCUUUUUGGUCUGUAACUGACGCUGAGGCGCGAAAGCGUGGGGAGCAAACAGGAUUAGA
rnacentral:rRNA from 2 species